GGCCGAGCGGCUGGGGGACGUGCGGCGGCCCGCUCCGCCUCCUGCCGGGCCCGCUCCGCCUGCAAGGGGGAGGGAGGCGGAGAUUUUGAGGGCAGCUGAAUACUGUCUGGCAUCAAGAAAGACACAGUCACAUCAUGACAUGUUCAGGGGUACACAGCACACACUCUACAAUUCCAAAGGCUCGGAGAUUAGGAUGCCAGGAUUCACCAUGGGAGUAUGUUUUGCCAUUUGAAACACAAACUACAAAAGAAGAGACAAGGGAGAAAAAGUACAACUGGAAAAGGUACGUUCACUGGCUGUUCUUCUGUGAAUAUUCAUUUGAUUCAUGCACAUUUGUUUAAAGCAGUGUCUCUAUACCUAAUUCGUUAGUGUCUCUGGCUCACUUCACUACUUGUUUGCUUCAGUCAGAGUUUUGCCACGUAAAAUGAGACGGAGCCUAUGAUCACUCUUUUCUGAACAGAUUGGCUUUGAUUCCAAAUCCCAUGAUGCCAGUGUCCAUCACUAUUUUGAAGACAGUGGAGAAGGUGGCUGAGUCAAGUAUUUGAGCAGCCCCCCUCCAGCACAUGCAUUUCAGUCGUGCAUCAUUAACCAGCUUAUAAAACUAACUCCUCCUUCUUACAGCUGAUCUCAGUCCACACACAAGGCAUAGCCUGCUAAAUUGGCUCUGGCUUCUAGUAUUGAAUCUGCAGUGGGCAAAAUCAGGACAUUUGCUACAAGUUAUCUGAACAACUGUUCCUAGUAUUAGCUGAACGUGGCUUUUACAGGGAGAGCCAUACUAUCAACAGGAUGGAUUGGUGCCACCUGGGCCUUUAAUACUGCAGUCACACAGGACUUCUGCUACACAACACAGAGCAAAAGCAAUGGAAUGUUACAAAAAGAAGUCUGGUGUCAUUUGUAGGGAUAUGUAUGUCUAUAGGUAUAUAGGGACAUUUGGCCUUUGGAAUCACAAGAUAACAUUAACUUGAAAGGAUGUCUGUGGGGCUGAGAUUUCAUUCCAAGAGCAUCUAAGCAUCUCACAGUAUUUUUUUCAUCUGUGCCCCUGAGAGACAGAGAAAUACAGCUGGCAAAAGGAGAGUGGAAAAAUUCCUACCUGGUAGAAGUCACUUUGGGUCACCAUGCAUUUAAUGGGGAUUAUAUCACUUUACACCAUGUUUGCAUUUGUCCUAUAAACCUUACUUCUUUCUUUUUAAAUAUUUUAUAAACACGAAGAAAAAUGCAAACUAAUCCUAACAAGGUGAAAGAAAGGGCAUUGCCUGAAUUCUAAAGGCAACUGAAGUGAAGCUGGGGUAUGUUGCAAAUAUUUCCAAUUCUUUUAAUAUGCCAUCAUUUUUAUUAAUGCUUUUAUUUGUAAAAUAUGUUCCUAUUUUGCCUGUAACUUUCAAAAGCAAUUUAAUUUUUAUCUGUAAUCUGAAAUUUACAUCUAACUGGUAACAGAUGUGAUCAACUGGCUUAUACUUCACUGAGUUGCUGAGAUUUAUGGGGAAUGUUCUUUGCAAUGUAUUAUCUUUCAUGAGGUUAUGUUAUCAUUUGGUUUAUCAUUUGCUAUUUUUUAACUCCUUCUUAAGACAUGGCUUUAUUUUAGAGGUGGAAAACAGUUUUGUUUCUCACAUGAAAGCAAAUAAUGUGUUAUCUGUUUACUGAAAAUGAGAGAAGAAGGAUCUGUUUAGCACAGAACAGUCUGGGGUAGCAAAUGAAGCCUUCAGAAGAAGCUAAAAUAUGGCAUGUAACUUCUGGCUCCCAAAUGCCCUGUUUUUUUGUGUGUGUUCUUCGCAUUCAGAAUUAUAAAUCUGUAUCCAUACAAUCACAUUUUAUUUGCUUGUCAGGAGAAUUGCUAUGUAUUUAUUUUUUAGUUUGUUGUGUCUCAAGGGACAUAUGCAUUAAUUAACGCAUUACUUGUUAACUGGGGAAGAACAAAAGAAAAUACAUGGUCAGCAUUCUGGUUUCCACCAAGGGGAUCAGUUAGACACUCUCCAGGCAGUGGAUGUAUGAAGUUGUAGCAGUUAGUAUACUGCAUUCAGUAAUAUGCUAUUCAUCUGUAUGCUUUUUAUUUGCUGAAACAAAUCAGUUAGAAACUGCUUUGAUGAUGUCUUUAUGUGUGAAUAACAUGUCAGAGGUAUUGCACUGUGUGGAGAUUCCUACUCCUAGAUUCAGCAUAAAACACUGGCAUGAUCUGAAUGCUUUUUCAUGGUUGUUCAGGUGGAUAAUAAAGAUCCUAUGGCCAACAUUCCUUCUGUUAGUUAAUACCUUGAAAGAUUAGUUGGCCCUAAUACAGGGGCUUUUAACUCUUUGUGGGUAGUUUCUGAGUGCCUACUGAGUGGUGUUUGUGGAUAACUGCUUUUCUGAAUAUGCACUUUUACAGCCAGUUAUUUUAUGGCUUCUUAGAGCUGUUCCUGCAGACCUCAGCUGCCUUACAUACACCCACUGUGGGAACUGAGCAUCCUGCCCUUUUGGUUGUACAGCACCUGCUGUCCCAUGAACUGACAACUGCUAUUUUCCCUCUA